rnacentral:tRNA from 1 species
GAGCACAUGGCUCAAUGGUAGAGCGUUCUACUCAAGCACCAAAAGUCGCGGGUUCGAAUCCCAGCUGUGCCG